AGUCGAACGGGUGUGCCCGGUGGAUGCCGGGAACUACACACUAGUGGCAAACGGGUGAGUAACACGUAGAUAAUCUGCCUCAAUGUUCGGAAUAAGCUCGCGAAAGCGGGUCUAAUACCGGAUGUGGUCAGUUGGCGCAAGCUAAUUGAUUAAAGCCUUCGGGCGCUUUGAGAGGAGUCUGCGGCCUAUCAGCUUGUUGGCGGGGUAAAGGCCCACCAAGGCUAUGACGGGUAGCCGGUCCGAGAGGAUGUUCGGCCACAAGGGAACUGAGACACGGUCCCUACUCCUACGGGAGGCAGCAGCUGGGAAUCGUUCGCAAUGGACGAAAGUCUGACGACGCGACGCCGCGUGCGGGAUGAAGCCCUUCGGGGUGUAAACCGCUUUUCUAGGGGAAAAAGAUCUGAUUGUACCCUAGGAAUAAGGGGUUACUAACUCCGUGCCAGCAGUAGCGGUAAUACAGAGACCUCGAGCGUUUUCCGGAAUCAUUGGGCGUAGAGCGUCCGCAAGUGGCUAUAUAAGUCGGGCUUGAAAUUCGGUGGCUCAACCACCGACAUGGGUUCGAUACUGUGUAGCUAGAGGAUUGGAGAGGCUGAUGGAACUCCCGGUGUAGCAGUGAAAUGCGUUAAUAUCGGGAAGAACACCAAUUGCGAAGGCAGUCAGCUAUUCAAUUCCUGACACGCAGGGACGAAAGCGUGGGGAGCGAACGGGAUUAGAUACCCCGGUAGUCCACGCUGUAAACGAUGGGUACUAGACAUUGGGACUUUCGACAGUCUCAGUGCCGCAAGCUAACGCGUUAAGUACCUCGCCUGGGAAGUACGGCCGCAAGGCUAAAACUCAAAGGAAUUGACGGGAGCCCGCACAAGCGGUGGAGCAUGUGGUUUAAUUCGAUACUGAGCGAAGAACCUUACCAAGGCUUGACAUGGUAGGAGACCCUGCGAAAUACGGGGGUGCUAGCUUGCUAGAACCUACACACAGGUGCUGCACGGCUGUCGUCAGCUCGUGUCGUGAGAUGUUGGGUUAAGUCCCGCAACGAGCGCAACCCUCGUCGUUAGUUGCUAACAGUUCGGCUGAGCACUCUAACGAGACUGCCUUCGUAAGGAGGAGGAAGGUGAGGACGACGUCAAGUCAUCAUGGCCCUUACGGCCAGGGCUACACACGUGCUACAAUGGGGCGUACAGAGAGUUGCAAUACCGCGAGGUGGAGCCAAUCUCUUAAAGCGUCUCUCAGUUCGGAUUGUUCUCUGCAACUCGAGAACAUGAAGCUGGAAUCACUAGUAAAUGUAGAUCAGAUAUUUCUACCGGGAAUACGUUCCCCCGGGCUUGUCUCACCGCCCGUCACACCAUGGGAGUUGAUUUCACCCGAAAUCGGGAUGCCAAACUGGCUACCGCUUACGGUGGAAUUAGCGACUGGGGUGAAGUCGUAACAAGGUAACC
rnacentral:rRNA from 1 species